rnacentral:rRNA from 1 species
GAUGAACGCUGGCGGCGUGCCUAAUACAUGCAAGUCGAGCGAACGGACGAGAAGCUUGCUUCUCUGAUGUUAGCGGCGGACGGGUGAGUAACACGUGGAUAACCUACCUAUAAGACUGGGAUAACUUCGGGAAACCGGAGCUAAUACCGGAUAAUAUUUUGAACCGCAUGGUUCAAAAGUGAAAGACGGUCUUGCUGUCACUUAUAGAUGGAUCCGCGCUGCAUUAGCUAGUUGGUAAGGUAACGGCUUACCAAGGCAACGAUGCAUAGCCGACCUGAGAGGGUGAUCGGCCACACUGGAACUGAGACACGGUCCAGACGCCUACGGGAGGCAGCAGUAGGGAAUCUUCCGCAAUGGGCGAAAGCCUGACGGAGCAACGCCGCGUGAGUGAUGAAGGUCUUCGGAUCGUAAAACUCUGUUAUUAGGGAAGAACAUAUGUGUAAGUAACUGUGCACAUCUUGACGGUACCUAAUCAGAAAGCAACGGCUAACUACGUG